AACGAUGAAACUUAGUAGACUUCUUCGGAAUGACACUAAGCGAAUUAGUGGCGAACGGGUGAGUAACGCGUGAGUAACCUGCCUUACACAAGGGGAUAGCCUUUGGAAACGAAGAAUAAUACCCUAUAAAACUAUAAAAGCACAUGCUAGAAUGGUCAAAGUGCUAGCGGUGUAAGAUGGACUUGCGUCUGAUUAGCUAGUUGGUGAGAUAAAAGCUCACCAAGGCAACGAUCAGUAGCCGGCUUGAGAGAGUGUACGGCCACAUUGGGACUGAGACACGGCCCAGACUCCUACGGGAGGCAGCAGUGGGGAAUUUUGCACAAUGGGGGAAACCCUGAUGCAGCGACGCCGCGUGAUUUAGAAGGCCUUCGGGUUGUAAAAAUCUUUUGUAUAGGAAGAAAAUGACAGUACUAUACGAAUAAGGUCCGGCUAAUUACGUGCCAGCAGCCGCGGUAAUACGUAAGGACCGAGCGUUGUCCGGAAUCAUUGGGCGUAAAGGGUACGUAGGCGGCUAGAAAAGUUAGAAGUCAAAGGCUAUAGCUCAACUAUAGUAAGCUUCUAAAACUAUUUAGCUUGAGAAAUGGAAGGGAAAGUGGAAUUCCUAGUGUAGCGGUGGAAUGCGCAGAUAUUAGGAAGAAUACCGGUGGCGAAGGCGACUUUCUGGCCAUUAUCUGACGCUGAGGUACGAAAGCGUGGGUAGCAAACAGGAUUA
rnacentral:rRNA from 2 species